GCCUUUUUAGCUCAGUGGUAGAGCAUUGUAUUUGUAAUGCAGCGGUCGUCGGUUCAAGUCCGACAAAAGGCU
rnacentral:tRNA from 2 species